rnacentral:lncRNA from 1 species
CAAAGUGGUUUAGGGGCUGAUUCCCGCUAUUGAACCAGACGAAUUUCUCCAAAAAGCACGUCCUAAGAGAAACAUAACUGCAAAGAAGUUCGAAGAAUACCACGCAACAAAUAUUUUGGAAAAGCAAGUAAAGAAUCACUCUAAGUGUUUUGACAUUCCACUAAGCAAAACACCACAAUACUCAAAUUCAUUCUUUAUAAAGACAGUGAUCGCGUCGAAUCAGCAAGACGACACUGUAGUGCGUUUAUCAAGCGUAAAGAGCGUCAAAUCUGCUCUUACUCCCCGUCAAUAAAUCGGCGGCGCUCUCUCAAACCGUUAUAUUAAAGCCAGAAUUGGUAUUGACAACGCAUUCAUACAGAUACAGAUACAGAGGAUGUCGCGGUCGUUGUUAAUGUGGAAAACCGAGUCUCCCGUGCACCGUUUUGUUUACAUGUGGUGGUGACUGUGAAUAAACAUGUAUUUUCAGCC